rnacentral:tRNA from 1 species
GCACUGGUGGCUCAGGGGGAGAAUUCUUGCUUUUCACGCAGAAGACUUGGGUUCGAUUCCCAGCCAAUGCU